rnacentral:rRNA from 1 species
AUGCACAUCCUUGUCAAGGAAGGGUGCAAUGACUACAUGACAGAACACCCGGAUCUUGACAUGUGGUCACAAUUCCCAAUAGAGAAGCAGGCAUACAAGACAUACACUAGAGAUCUUUACUGCAAGUUCCGUGAUAAGUUUUCGAUGAUUGGACGCUACAAUGCAUUCCAAAUUGGUGUGGAAACGUUUGAGCUGAGACCAAAUGCUGAUUGGGUUGUGAAGUAUGGUUCCAGGAACUACUUAGUGGUGGCAAAAAUACCCGAGGGACAAUAUUCGUGUGAGUGUACCAAAAUGGAGAGGGAUGGCAUCCUUUGUUGCCACAUAUUGAAAGUGUUCACGCAUAUUGGGCUUGAUGUCAUCCCGGAGCAGUACAUGUUGUAG